rnacentral:tRNA from 1 species
UAGUCGAUAGAGGAGAAGAGCUUCUCUGUUUCUUUGAAACAAUAAAACCGAAACCGGAUUAUUCUAGUUCCAAACUGGGUUGGUGAA